AACCAGACGAGGAAGUGAAGAAAGAAUUUGUAGAAUUGGUGAAACACUGUUAUUCUGAUUGGAUGUUUCACAUUAAAAAUCCUAUUUUUAAAAAGUACAUAGAGAAAGAAGAUUGUUAUAAGAAUGGUCCUUCCUUCAUUCCUACACUCUUUUGGAAAAAGAUGGUGGAUAAAUGGAUGGAUGGAGAUUAGGGGGAUGGUACUAGUAGAGAUGAAGAGGACAACUCAAUCAAUAAUACAAGGGAGGAUGAAAACAGCUUGGAGGGUAACUCAGAGGAAGACUAGUAUAGAUCUUGUCAUAAUUCUAGUUGUUUAAGUUUAAAAUAAGGUUUGAUUUCAGGAUUUCUUUGUAUAUUCUAUAUUUUAAAGUUUGAACUUAAAUGAAUUUUUAUCUUUCAAUUGAUCAAUUUUUAGUAAUUA